CCUACGGGUGGCAGCAGUGAGGAAUAUUGGUCAAUGGGCGGGAGCCUGAACCAGCCAAGUCGCGUGAGGGAAGACGGUCCUAUGGAUUGUAAACCUCUUUAGGCGGGGAGCAAUGCCGGGCACGCGUGCCCGGAGGGAGAGUACCCGCAGAAUAAGCAUCGGCUAACUCCGUGCCAGCAGCCGCGGUAAUACGUAGGGGGCAAGCGUUGUUCGGAAUGACUGGGCGUAAAGGGUGUGUAGGUGGUUUGAUAAGUUAGAUGUGUAAUACCCAGGGCUUAACUCGGGUGCUGCAUCUAAAACUGUUGACUUGAGUACUGGAGAGGAUAGUGGAAUUCCUAGUGUAGCGGUGGAAUGCGUAGAUAUUAGGAGGAACAUCAGUGGCGAAGGCGACUAUCUGGACAGCAACUGACACUGAGGCACGAAAGCGUGGGGAGCAAACAGGAUUAGAUACCCCUGUAGUC
rnacentral:rRNA from 1 species